CACGUAGGGCGCAAGCGUUGUCCGGAAUUAUUGGGCGUAAAGAGCUCGUAGGUGGUUUGUUACGUCUGCUGUGAAAACCUAGGGCUUAACCCUGGGCUUGCAGUGGAUACGGGCAGACUAGAGGUAGGUAGGGGAGAAUGGAAUUCCUGGUGUAGCGGUGAAAUGCGCAGAUAUCAGGAGGAACACCGGUGGCGAAGGCGGUUCUCUGGGCCUUACCUGACACUGAGGAGCGAAAGCGUGGGGAGCGAACAGG
rnacentral:rRNA from 2 species